rnacentral:sRNA from 1 species
GAGCGUAGAGUAGUGGAGCCAGGACGC